AACGAACGCUGGCGGCAUGCUUAACACAUGCAAGUCGAACGAGACCUCCCGGCUUUUUUGCGCUCGUCUGCUUAACGCCGGGGAAGUUACCCGUAGGUACCGUAUACCUGCCCUUAGGGUGACUUCAUACCGCUUAGGCUCAUCGGGCCAAAGAUUUCUUGCUUUUGGAUGGGGGCUCGUUGGAUUCGCUGGUUGGUAGGGUAAAAGCCUGCCAAGGCGAUGAUCCUUGGCUGGUGUGAGAGGAUGAUCAGCACCACUGGCACUCGGACACGGCCCAGACUCCUACGGGAGGGAGCAGUGGGGAAUAUUGGACAAUGGGCGAAAGCCUGAUCCAGCAAUGCCGCGUGAGUGAUGAAGGCCUUAGGGUUGUAAAGCUCUUUUACCCGGGAUGAUAAUGACGGUACCGGGAGAAUAAGCUCCGGCUAACUCCGUG
rnacentral:rRNA from 1 species